UUGGAUCCUGGAAUGAAAGAUUAGACACUUUCGUUUGGUCUUCAGUUAAACAGUAGAACUUAGGGUUCAAGUUAGAACACUUGGAUUUUUUAAAAAGACGAUAAGACCCUAAAAGCUUUAGAUUGACGCGGUACUAGAUACUAGCUAAAUUUUUGACUGGGGUAGUGAUAUUUUAGAUUAAUUGUUGGGGGACUUUCGUGUUAUUAUUCCUUUAUAUUAGGAUGUAAAUGAGUUACUUUAGGGAUAACAGCGUAAUAGUGCUAGGGAGAGCGUAUCUAUAGCAUUGUUUACGACCUCGAUGUUGAAUUAAUAGUUCUUUUUAAAGCAAGAUUUAAAGAAGAGGGUUUGUUCAACCUUUAAU
rnacentral:rRNA from 1 species